rnacentral:rRNA from 1 species
CCUACGGGAGGCAGCAGUGAGGAAUAUUGGACAAUGGACGAGAGUCUGAAGCAGCGAAGUCGCGUGAACGAUGACUGCCCUAGGGGUUGUAAGCUUCUUUUAUAUGGGAAUAAAACAGGGUAUGCAUACACUAUUGUAUGUACCAUAUGGAUCAGGCACGGCUAACUACGUGCCAGCAGCCGCGGUAAUACGGAGGGGCCGAGCGUUAUCCGGAUGUAUUGGGUUUAAAGGGAGCGUAGGUGGAUUGUUAAGUCAGUUGUGAAAGUUCGCGGCUCAACCGUAAAAUUGCAGUUGAUACUGGAAGUCUAGAGUGUCGGAGAGGCGGGCGGAAUUCGUGGUGUAGCGGUGAAAUGCGUAGAUAUUACGAAGAACUCCGAUGGCGAAGGCAGCCUACUGGACGGCAACUGACAUUGAUGCUCGAAAGUGUGGGGAUCAAACAGGAUUAGAUACCCGGGUAGUC